CAUGUAACUAUAAUGAAAUGUAUUUUAGUACUUGUGAACGAAAGACUGAAAACCAGCAGGAAUUUUUCACACGUAUAUUUCGUCCACCAUUGCUUUUAUCUUUGUCUGCCAAUUCAGCUCGUUAAAAAAAGAGUAAAAAAAAAGAGUUCGUAUCUGCAUUCAACUAAGUGGAGCGGUACACAUCAUGAUUACUCCGGGACAAAAAUGUCGAGUUCAGAUACAAACAGGCCUAUCUAAUC
rnacentral:lncRNA from 1 species